ensembl:lncRNA
CAGCUCCAGUGUGCCAGUGCUGAAGAGGAUGAAUAUGAAUCAGUGUUAAUUAAGAAUGAGGAGAUUCUCUUAUUUCCUAAAAUGCAUAAACCAGAGUAGGAGCUAAACAUCUGCAAUAAAGGAGAUGUUUUGCAUAGUGAGGAACCUGCCUUUGAAGAUGAGUUCUCUGAGGAGCAAUGUGACAAACCUACCUGCAACUGCAGAGGAAAAGGAAUACUCCACAGAUCCAGACUGUUCCAAUAACAAGGUGGUAAAGGUGUCCAACUGCCAUUUAUCCCUUAUCCUGCCAAACAUCAUUAUCCUUGACAUUACCACAAACCUCCCCGCCAAUGAAGAUCUAGGCAGAAAAAGAAUUUAAAGCAGCUGGUGUUGGAGUCUGGUGCUUUUGCUGACUUUUCUGUGUGCUUUCUUUUUUGUGUUUUGCCUCAUUGUUUUUGUACUUGCUUGUGCUUUUCUGUUUAUACAGUAUGUUCAUAGUUCUCCCUGUUCCAGUUUAUCUGUCACCUGUGUGGUUCAACUGAACUUAGUGCUAGCUGGCUUGGGAAAAGUGUACAGAUAAAAGUCAUGUGACAUACACUUGCACAUGUAGUUUUGUUUGGAGUGUCUAAACCACACUAGGCAAAGGGUGAGUGUCAGCUGUGUAUUUUUGUUUGGGUUAUUUGGGCGUCUUCUGACACUGAAGAUACUUUUUCUGGUUGUGUUUGUUUGAUAUAGUUAGAAUAGUCUGUGCUACCUUAGAUUUGCUUGGGUUUGAUUUGUUCAUUCCUUUGACACUACCCAAGUUCUUUUCCCCAUGUGUCUUUGGAAUUGUAAUAUACAAUAUGUAUAACUUUUCACUAGCCCACUUCUCACUUACGUACAUAGUAAAUCACUUGCACCAAAAGUCUUGCUUAUUGCUUUUGGUCCCCAUCCAAACCACUGGCCUUCAGGCAACUUAAUGUUAUACCCUGUUACCCUUAGACACCUUGGGGUCAUAACACAGUCUUAUAAUAUUAUCAGAAACCUUUGCCAACAGCAGUUUACAAUGGUUGACCUGAAUGUCUCUCAAGAUGAAGGAUAUUCUGAAUGUUCUUUCUUCUGUGGGAUGGUUGCUAUUAUGAGCUGCGAAAACCAAACACAACCUUUCAGAAUAAGGACCUUCCCAUAGUCAAGAGCCAGUAAUGCACAUGGUAACAGUGUGCUGAUUUGGGGAUGUGCUGUUGUCGUGAUAGGAGCUGGGUCCCUAUUGCACAUGGGGCACAUUGUAUGUGCUGUUUGCAGGAGAUCUGCAUAGUUAUAUGCCUGACGGUAAUAUGGUGUGUAUGUGUGCGCGUGCCAAAAACAUCACUGAUCUUUAGAGUGUGUCUUAGACACUGCUUUAGAAUUUUAAAAAGAAACCCGAAUCAAUAACACACACACGUCACACCGCAAUUAAACCUGUUUGGCUGUUAAAAUUAGGACAGGUACCUUACUUCAUUACACGAAAUUGCCUUCGAUUCAAAGUUAUCGGAAAUUCCUUAAUAACAACAUACACUGUGAAAGAUUUUAAGGUUUUUAAUAUUAAAAAUAUCUGAACUGGAGACGUGUUUAAAUUACGUCAUUCUCUCCGUAGACCGCAGCUAAACCACGUGUAGAACUGGUUGGAUUGGGAGGGAUUGUGUCGUCAUUUCCGCUUGGAAAUGAAGCACGUGACGCCGUUUUAGAAACGGAGAUUGUGUUGCUGUCGCCGCUUUGCUUCACUUUGUUUCUUAUAGUAAAGUGCCGUAAACGCACAGCAGUGGUAAAUGCAGUAACUUUGAAUAAAUUGGAGUG